UUUCCGUAGGUGAACCUGCGGAAGGAUCAUUCAUAAUAAAGUGUUUUAUGGCACUUUUUAAAAAUCCAUAUCCACCUUGUGUGCAAUGUUAGAUCUCGUCAAUCUUGGCGAGAUUUUUAUACAUCAACUCAUUCUUUAACUAAUUUGUCUGAAAAAUAUUAUGAAUACUUAAUUCAAAAUACAACUUUCAACAACGGAUCUCUUGGCUCUCGGAUCGAUGAAGAACGCAGC
rnacentral:misc_RNA from 1 species